UUGCCCUAGUAACGGCGAGUGAAGCGGCAACAGCUCAAAUUUGAAAUCUGGCCUCGGCCCGAGUUGUAAUUUGUAGAGGAAGCUUUUGGCGCGGCACCUUCUGAGUCCCCUGGAACGGGGCGCCAUAGAGGGUGAGAGCCCCGUAUAGUUGGAUGCCUAGCCUCUGUAAAGCUCCUUCGACGAGUCGAGUAGUUUGGGAAUGCUGCUCAAAAUGGGAGGUAAAUUUCUUCUAAAGCUAAAUACCGGCCAGAGACCGAUAGCGCACAAGUAGAGUGAUCGAAAGAUGAAAAGCACUUUGAAAAGAGGGUUAAAUAGCACGUGAAAUUGUUGAAAGGGAAGCGCUUGUGACCAGACUUGCGCCGGGCUGAUCAUCCGGUGUUCUCACCGGUGCACUCUGCCCGGCUCAGGCCAGCAUCGGUUCUCGCGGGGGGACAAAGGCCCUGGGAACGUAGCUCCUCCGGGAGUGUUAUAGCCCAGGGCGUAAUGCCCUCGCGGGGACCGAGGUUCGCGCUCUGCAAGGAUGCUGGCGUAAUGGUCACCAGCGACCCGUCUUGAAACACGGACCAAGGAGUCAAGGUUUUGCGCGAGUGUUUGGGUGUAAAACCCGCACGCGUAAUGAAAGUGAACGUAGGUGAGAGCUUCGGCGCAUCAUCGACCGAUCCUGAUGUAUUCGGAUGGAUUUGAGUAGGAGCGUUAAGCCUUGGACCCGAAAGAUGGUGAACUAUGCUUGGAUAGGGUGAAGCCAGAGGAAACUCUGGUGGAGGCUCGCAGCGGUUCUGACGUGCAAAUCGAUCGUCAAAUCUGAGCAU
rnacentral:rRNA from 1 species